UUGUUUGGUUUGUUUUCCAUCCCUCAAACUGUCCUAAAAGUGUUCUUGCCCCUCCUUCCUAGUAUGGCUUUAAACUCUGUUAUUAAUGAAACUAGGAAACCCAAGAGAACCUCAGUUUUCCCACUCACACAGUCUCUUAAGAUGUAACAAUGGGACAAGGCUAAGCUGUUGACGGUCUUCUCUGAAUAAGGGUCUCCGCUGAUGUUCCUGCUGGUUUGGACACAGGACGCCCAAAGUGGGGCCUGGAUAGAGGAGGCUCCAUGAGGAAGAAGGUUCAGGUGGCCAGCAUUGUAUAUAGAAAUUCCUUCAAAUGCUGUGGGAGCCUGCUGUGGCUGAAACGAAAGAAAAAGAUUGAAUUCAACUUGCUGAAGAUGUUCCUAUGGAAGGUACUUUUGAGCCAAUGGAAAAUCACUUGUGAUGCUUCAACACUGGGUAAAAGGGAUGUAAUUCCCCCAUUUGCCUGGCAUUUUUUUUCUGACUGAAAAUUGUACAAACCAUGCUAAAACUCUGAGUUAUGGUCAUCUCCUGGCCACAGCUGAUUGUCCACCUAUGGGAUGCCAAUCUGCUAUAAUGUUAAAUUUUAUAGACUUUUAAGGCAUGCCCUGGAAAAGUUGCUCCUGUCUUGUGCUUUUUGUUUGAUCAACAACAUCCCUACUACAUAGACAGAUGUAUUGAGGAGAACGUAGGAUGUCCCUAUCAUUCAUGCAGAAUCCAUGAUGUUAGGAACUUAAGAAAUAAUGAGAUUAUUAUUCAAGGUCCCUAUCAGGGCCACAAUUUUUAUCACAUACCCCCAGGCUAUACUUGGGAUAUUUGGGAUCAUGGGAUUCUCGCUGGACUACACCAGUCUAGGUAGCCAUGUACAUGAAUAGAGAUAUAACCUGGCCUAGCAGCUAUGUCUAUAUUUGUCAUUCUCUUGUUCAAAUACAAACCACCAUCCAUGCAGAAAUCCAAGAACAAGAAAAAGUUAAAUACACAACUCACCUUCCCUUUUUCCUGGCUCUCUCUUCUCAGAGAAGGCCACAUGAUUGCCAACAUUACAGGUCUUGGCAAUGUUUCUGCCUGUUUCCUUUGUGCCGCGCUAGCACGUCCUCCUUUAACAGCAGUCCCAUAUCCCACCUCGUUUAAUGGCUCUAGUAAUAUUGAUAAAGGAUUUUCGCCCAUCUCUGAUCUAUCACUGUUUUUGGCUCCUGAUCGGGAACAAUUUAGCUUUUGCUAUUCUAAUGCUAGCACUACCUUGUGUAAUUUGACUAUUGUCCCAAAUACAGAUCUUUUUGCCCCUGAGGGGUUCUCUCUCUGGUGUAAUGGUACCUUUCCAAAAAUCUUUCAGCUCCUGUAAAUAAGGAGCUGCUGUGCCUUCCCUUUGCCUUACUGCCUCCGUUAACCCUUUGCACCCCAGCUGAAUAUCUAGGUUGGGCUGGUCUGCCAUCCUUAAGGAUGAAAUGGGCUGUUUUCUUACACCUGGUGGCUGGUAUCUCCCUUGCUAAAUCCAUUGUGGCUGCUGGCUUGGCAGGAGGAACUUUAGGACAUUCCCUUCUCCCCACUGCAAAACUUUCUCAACAGUUUCAUUUGGCAAUAGAGGCCUCAGCAGAGUCUCUGGCUUCCCUGCAAAGGCAGAUGAAUUCCCUUGCUCAGGUCACCUUACAGAACCAGUGAGCCUUAGAUCUCCUGACCAUGGAAAAGGGUGGAACAUGCCUGUUCCUGGGAGAAGAAUGCUGUUUCUAUGUCAACGAAUCUGGCUUGGUGGAAACCCAAGUUAAUAAAUUACACAAGCUCAGUAUUGAACUACAGAGACAGAAAUUUUCCUCUACCGCCUGUGAUUGGUGGAGAUCAUCUACGUUUUCUCUUUUGAUGCCCUUUGUGGGACCCCUGAUUAGUAUUUUGCUCUUGGUUACACUGGGACCCAUGAUUUUCAACAAGCUCAUGGCUUUUAUUAAUCAAUAAAUUGAGGCCAUUCAGGUCCAUUAUCAUCGCCUUGAGAUGAAUGAUCUAGGUGGGUCUUCUGCUCCCAACCACCUCCCCUGUGAGCUGAACUGGACAGUCAAUGAGGGGUAAGAGAGCAGCAUUCUCUGGUAUUUGAAGCCUAAGACAGGAGGGCCACCAUAAGCUGCUGUCUUAUCCAAUGACGGGCCUAGAGAAAUAAGAAGGUCGUGCUCCAAUCUAAGAGAGACACAGUUCCCUAGGGGCUCUCUCAUGGCUUGAAAUAAUAAAAAAGGGGGACCUGUCCGGGGCCACCCAGCCUGCUUAUACCUUUCUUUGCCUGAGCUAAGUGUUUUCCACUUCAUGGGCCCUUGUUUCCAAGUAGCAUACGUGGGGGUUACCACCAGUCAAAAAUACUGGAGACUUCCUGGUAGCUUGCUUUUACACAAGAAUGAGUUUCAUUCUAUUCUUAGUUAGAAACUUCAGAAAAUUGAAACUUAGUGUAGGUAAGAAGUUUUUGGGAAAUCAAAACUUAUGCCAUUGGUUUCUGAUGUGACAACGUUUAUCGUUACCCUGAUUACCAGUUUGUGUUGUAUGAUUUUUCUGCUUAUAAACAAGUGCUUUUUGCUUGAUUAAAUGAGACAUAAUCAGAAUAUUGUCUUGUCUCCACUUCUCGCGCCUCUUGUCCCAUCCCUCCCACUCCCCUCUCCAAGGUCUCUGUUGAUGUUCGGGCAGGCUGGGACAGUUUCCCUUCUUUGUUGGAGUUUUUCAUCUAUAAUCCUUUGAAGGGGUGGAUUUGAGAAAAGAUGUUGUCUAAAUUUGAUUUUGCCAUGGAAUAUCUUGGU
rnacentral:sRNA from 1 species